AACACUGUUAACCUGCGGUACCUGCGGAAGGAUCAUUAUAGUGUAUGGAAUCUCCAUUCUAUAAACCCACUCUGCGUAUCUUGUAACUGUUGCUUCCAUGGGACUUGGUUCCGCCACACCGGCUUCACGGCUGGUGAGCGCCCAUGGAAGGAGAAACAAAACUCUUCUUUGAAAUGUAGUCAGUCUGAACAAGUUUUUAUAAACGUUAAAACUUUCAACAAUGGAUCUCAGAUCGGAAGA
rnacentral:misc_RNA from 1 species